CCUACGGGAGGCAGCAGUGAGGAAUAUUGGUCAAUGGACGAGAGUCUGAACCAGCCAAGUAGCGUGAAGGAUGACUGCCCUAUGGGUUGUAAACUUCUUUUAUAUGGGAAUAAAACGUUCCACGUGUGGGAUUUUGUAUGUACCAUAUGAAUAAGGAUCGGCUAACUCCGUGCCAGCAGCCGCGGUAAUACGGAGGAUCCGAGCGUUCUCCGGAUUUAUUGGGUUUAAAGGGAGCGUAGGUGGAUUGUUAAGUCAGUUGUGAAAGUUUGCGGCUCAACCGUAAAAUUGCAGUUGAAACUGGCAGUCUUGAGUACAGUAGAGGUGGGCGGAAUUCGUGGUGUAGCGGUGAAAUGCUUAGAUAUCACGAAGAACUCCGAUUGCGAAGGCAGUUCACUGGACUGCAACUGACACUGAGGCUCGAAAGUGUGGGUAUCAAACAGGAUUAGAUACCCCAGUAGUC
rnacentral:rRNA from 1 species